CUCCCCAUUGUCUUCCUAAUUCCCCACUUCACCCCUCACAAUUGUCCUCUCUACUCCAUCCCUACUUCACUCUAAUCUCCACUCUCCAUUUCUCUCCCUAUUCCCCUCUCCACUUCCCUCCCCUCACCAUCCCUUCCCACUCCCGUCUCAAUUCCCUCUCCAUCUCUCUCCGCUACUUCCUCCUCCAUUUUCUCCCCUACUCCCCCAUCCACAUUUCCCCCUACCCUCUUCUCCAUUUCUCUUCCCUGCUCCCCUCUCCCUUUCUCUCUCCUACUCCCCUCUUCAUUUCUCACCCUACUUCUCUCUCCAUUUACCUCCCCAGCUCCAUUUUUCUCCCCCUCCCACUUCCCAUUUCUCACCCUACUCCCCUCUCCAUUUCUCUCCCCUACUCUCCCAUCUUCAUUCCCCUCCCAGUCCUUCCGUUUCUGACUCCCCCCCACUCGCUCCCCUUCUUCACUCCACGCCCCUCUCUUCUCACCUGCCCCUUCAUCUUUCCCAUUCCCCUAUAUUCCCUUGUCACUCCCCAGUCCCCUCUCCACUUCACUCUCCUUUCCGCAGCAACCCCCUCCUCCUCUUCCCCUACCAACCUCAUUUCUCCAUUUCUCUUUCCACUGCCUACUCCAUUCUCCUGCCACUUCUCUCCCCACUGCCCUCCCAAUACCUACCCAUUCACGUUUCCACCUCUCCCUCAACGAGUCUCCAAAACCCCCUCAGACGAAUACAAGCGAAUUUGAGUGAGAAUUGCUGUAGGAUAGAAUAGCUCGCUUCAACUGGUGGAAAUCUAACCUUGGUUCAAAACAGGCGCCUUGAAGGGCCGGUGGAAUCGUGUCAAGGAAAAUGCACCGGAAGAUGGAGCUGCUCCGAUGAGGGGAGCGAUUACCCGCCAAGUGUUGGAGUUUCAACGCCCGAUUAGAUGAAAAAAAGUGCUGAGGAAUAAAGGACCACUGCUUAAUCGACACGAAGCUUUGAGUUUCAAAAGAACGCUCGCCAGGGAUGUAAGCAUUAGCUACAACAAAACAAACAAAAUUCAAUCAUUACAAAUGCUGCCUGGAAAUCGUUUCUCUUUAUUGUGGUCCGAUCACCUCCUAGAAAAGACAGCCUUUAAUUAGGUUUUUUCGCGUACAUGUAGAAAGCAUUAAUAAUCUUCAUGUGAAUUUUAUUGAAUUACAUACCGCAAUGCAAGGAAGGAAACGGCAUUGUGUAAUCUUGCUGGCUGCCUUGCAAAUUAUAAGAUGAACGCAUGUUAAGUAGUAUGGAAGUCACUUGUUUUAAUUUAAACUGAUUUCGCCAAUUAAAAAGGAAACUUUGAAC